GUGGGGAAUCUUAGACAAUGGGGGCAACCCUGAUCUAGCCAUGCCGCGUGAGUGAUGAAGGCCUUAGGGUCGUAAAGCUCUUUCGCUGGGGAAGAUAAUGACGGUACCCAGUAAAGAAACCCCGGCUAACUCCGUGCCAGCAGCCGCGGUAAUACGGAGGGGGUUAGCGUUGUUCGGAAUUACUGGGCGUAAAGCGCGCGUAGGCGGAUUGGAAAGUUGGGGGUGAAAUCCCGGGGCUCAACCCUGGAAUGGCCUUCAAAACUCCCAGUCUUGAGGUCGAGAGAGGUGAGUGGAAUUCCGGGUGUAGAGGUGAAAUUCGUAGAUAUUCGGAGGAACACCAGUGGCGAAGGCGGCUCACUGGCUCGAUACUGACGCUGAGGUGCGAAAGCGUGGGGAGCAAACAGGAUUAGAAACCCUGGUAGUCC
rnacentral:rRNA from 1 species